rnacentral:pre_miRNA from 1 species
CAUGGGAUAGCUGGGUCAAAUGGUGGUUCUAUUUCUAGUUUUCUGAGGAAUCUCCAUACUGCUUUCCAGAUUGGUUGCACCAAUUUUACAUUCCCACCAGUAAU